rnacentral:rRNA from 1 species
GGGGCAUCAUAUCAUGCAGUCGAGCGAGCUUGCCUAGAUGAUUUUAGUGCUUGCACUAAAUGAAACUAGAUACAAGCGAGCGGCGGACGGGUGAGUAACACGUGGGUAACCUGCCCAAGAGACUGGGAUAACACCUGGAAACAGAUGCUAAUACCGGAUAACAACACUAGACGCAUGUCUAGAGUUUGAAAGAUGGUUCUGCUAUCACUCUUGGAUGGACCUGCGGUGCAUUAGCUAGUUGGUAAGGUAACGGCUUACCAAGGCAAUGAUGCAUAGCCGAGUUGAGAGACUGAUCGGCCACAUUGGGACUGAGACACGGCCCAAACUCCUACGGGAGGCAGCAGUAGGGAAUCUUCCACAAUGGACGAAAGUCUGAUGGAGCAACGCCGCGUGAGUGAAGAAGGGUUUCGGCUCGUAAAGCUCUGUUGGUAGUGAAGAAAGAUAGAGGUAGUAACUGGCCUUUAUUUGACGGUAAUUACUUAGAAAGUCACGGCUAACUACGUGCCAGCAGCCGCGGUAAUACGUAGGUGGCAAGCGUUGUCCGGAUUUAUUGGGCGUAAAGCGAGUGCAGGCGGUUCAAUAAGUCUGAUGUGAAAGCCUUCGGCUCAACCGGAGAAUUGCAUCAGAAACUGUUGAACUUGAGUGCAGAAGAGGAGAGUGGAACUCCAUGUGUAGCGGUGGAAUGCGUAGAUAUAUGGAGGAACACCAGUGGCGAAGGCGGCUCUCUGGUCUGCAACUGACGCUGAGGCUCGAAAGCAUGGGUAGCGAACAGGAUUAGAUACCCUGGUAGUCCAUGCCGU